AGAUCAUGUUGACGGAAACUUCUAAGCAACUCCUUAUAUCUCUCCCAUGCUUCACAUAAUGAUUCUCCAACCUCUUGUUGAAAGUUAGCAAUUUUAUUUUUAAGCUU